GUGUUUGGUCUGGGCGUGCGAACGAGAGAAGGAACCAAGGGAACCAAAACCCUAAACAACCUAAAAUCAUCAAAUUGAAAGGGGAAUCGAGGGCUGAUCGAAUGCAUGAGUCUAGAUACCCUUUAAUCUAAGUGUAUUGAUCAUAAGGAACGUGUCAAGGAGAGCUCAAGCAUAGGAGGAUAACGGGUCAAGAUAAGGCAAGGUGACAAAUACACUUAUUGGAAUACUCAAGGUGAUGAAUGUCGGACUUUCGAAGUGUUGAUAUAAUAAUGAAACGGUUGAAUGUUGAAAGGAUAAUCGGACUGAAGUAACUUAUGCGGUAAAUCCUCAAUUUUGGCGACUUGGAGAAUCGGAGCGAGCGCGUCUUCGUGUUAUGCGAUACCAAACGCUUCCGCUAGUUUGUUCAAAUGUUUUUUACCCAAAAUUUGUUGUAUUGGUUUUUAGUAGUAUCUUGUUGAACGAAUUGUAGAAUUGUAUCUAGUUUGUUUAUGUUUAAAACAGGGGUAUGCUCGUUUUAUGGACGGGUCAUGCCCGAUUUUUUUGUUAAAUUAUAGUUUGAUAAUAUCACAUUUAGGAAGGUGAAAUUUUGGGCGUAACAACUCAUCACCAUUCAAACCCCUGCUAUCACAACCCCUGCUCAAAAGCAGAAGACAGCUGCUGAUACAUCAGUAGUUGUAAUGACAAUAGCGGUUGAAACACCAGUUGUUUCAACAGCUGUUAGUCAAUCAUCUACCACUUCUCUCACCAUUCCCACGUCACAAGCAAAAUCCAUUUCAUCCACAAAGCUU
rnacentral:lncRNA from 1 species